rnacentral:tRNA from 1 species
GAGGGUAUAGCUCAGUGGUAGGGCACAUGCUUAGCACGCAUGAGGUCCUGGGUUCAAUCCACCGUACCUCCA